rnacentral:rRNA from 1 species
GUGACACUUGGGCAACCUGCCUGUAAGACUGGGAUAACGCCGGGAAACCGGGGCUAAUACCAGAUCGUUUUUUCCUCCGCAUGGAGGAAAAAGGAAAGGCGGCUUCGGCUGCCACUUACAAAUGGGCCCGCGGCGCAUUAACUAGUUGGGGGGGUAACGGCCCACCAAAGAAACUAUUCGUACCCCACCUGAGAGGGUGAUCGGCCACAUUGGGACUGAAACACGGCCCAAACUCCUACGGGAGGGGGCAGUAAGGAAUCUUCCGCAAUGGACCAAUGUCUGAGAGAGCAACCCCGCGUGAGUGAAAAAAGCCCUCGGGUCAUAAAAAUCUUUUGCCGGGGAAAAACAAGUGCCGUUUAAACAGGGGGGCCCCCUGACAGUACCCGGGCAAAAAGCCACGGCUAACUACCUGCCCGCAGCCGCGGUAAUACGUAUGUGGCAAGCGUUGUCCGGAAUUAUUGGGCGUAAAGCGCGCGCACGCGGCUUCUUAAAUCUGAUGUGAAAUCUUGCGGCUCAACCGCAAGCGGUCAUUGGAAACUGGGAGGCUUGAGUGCAGAAGAAGAGAGUGGAAUUCCACGUGUAGCGGUGAAAUGCG